UCUUGGCCGCUGAUCAUUUCGUCAUGCGGACGUGUGAUGUGCCCAACGGCUACUGGGGCCUGGAACCGUCGGUAGCGGCGUUCCAUUUGCGCUUCACGAAAGUCCUCAGUCAGCAGAUGCACUAUGUCCGACUGCGUGAAGAAUUGCCGAUGUGGUGGAAUGAAUUCAAGGGAGACGUGGCAAAUGUGUUCGAAAAAGAACGAAACCAUCCGGAUUAUUACGAUAAACUUUUGGAAAAAAACCAAGAAGCGGGGAAAGCCGUCGGACUACGGCGAGCGAUAUUUGGCAGUGCCUUUGGAACUGUUGAAGGAAGUCUUCCACUCCCUGGACACUGUCGACCGGCAGCGCUGCCGUCGGACGUGUGCACUGUGGGAAGCCUUUCUCACGUCGGCGGAGCUGUGCCAGGAAGUGCGGGUGACGCGGAAGCGGCCCAGCCGGUUAUCCCGUGUAAGGUGGGACUGCAAUUACGCCAUGUACGGCUGCAUCUUCAAGCACAUCACACCGGCCACCCGCACCAUCGCCAUUCGCGACACCGACCCGUCACCCCUCCAUCUCGAACACAUACCGCAUGCUGCCGGUGAAGUGGUGGACGUUAUGAAGAAGGUCUUGGAUACGGCCGGCAUCCGCAUCGAACGCUUCAUCUCGUGCCGGCAGUCCAUCUGGCUCAGAGAAGAAAUAUUUAACCAGUGGAAACUGAGCGCCCUGUCCAUCCACAUCGCCGCGCUCCACGCCAAGCUGGUGUCGUCCUGUCAACGUCUGAUUGUAAAAGAAUACUCCUCACAGUGGUAAAAAUGUUCGGCCGGCCCUUGAUGAAGUCCCGCAUUCCCCUGGUUGCAUUCUCCGGGGGACAAGUCGACGCGGCGCACAUUGUCGGUCUGCUGGAGCAGGGUCUGUACUGGGAGGAGCCGCCGUUGGAUGUGCGCCGCCUGGCCGACUGCAUGGCCAACGGGAUCGACAGCCAAGAGAAGGCCAAAGGAGUGAAGAAGAUUCUCUGGGACUUCCAAACCCGCGAUCCGCGCCCAUCGUCGGCGUAUCGCAACCGCAAGUGGACGGUGUACAAUGUGGCCGGCGUGGAUGUGAGCCGACUGAACCGCUUCUGCCUGAAUGCCUUAGCGCGCUACGCACGGCGCUGGAAUCCGGCAUCCGUGGAGGGCAGCGCUCAGUCGGUGCAAUCCAGCAGUGAAUCCAGCGGUCCGUCCAACGAGUCCGGCAGUGAAGUCAGCAACUCCAGCAGCUCGGAAUCCCAUGACGGCGAGGAUUAAAUACC